rnacentral:rRNA from 1 species
AUGAACGCUAGCGGCAGGCUUAAUACAUGCAAGUCAAGGGGGUAGCAAUACAACCGGCGCACGGGUGAGUAACGCGUACACAACAUACCAUAUACUGGGGUAUAGCUUUGGGAAACUGAAGGUAAUCCCCCAUAACAUUGCGAGAGGGCAUCCGAUAGCAAUUAAAGUUUCGGCGGUAUAUGAUUGGUGUGCGUUUGAUUAGCUAGUUGGUAGGGUAACGGCCUACCAAGGCGACGAUCAAUAGCUGGCGUGAGAGCGCGACCAGCCACACUGGAACUGAGACACGGUCCAGACUCCUACGGGAGGCAGCAGUAGGGAAUAUUGGACAAUGGGCGCAAGCCUGAUCCAGCCAUGCCGCGUGAUAGAUGAAGGCCCUCUGGGUUGUAAAUAUCUUUUAUCUGGGAAGAAACUCCUCUAUUCUUAGAGGCCUGACGGUACCAGAGGAAUAAGCACCGGCUAACUCCGUGCCAGCAGCCGCGGUAAUACGGAGGGUGCAAGCGUUAUCCGGAUUCACUGGGUUUAAAGGGUGCGUAGGCGGGCUGAUAAGUCAGUGGUGAAAGCUCCGAGCUUAACUUGGAAACUGCCAUUGAUACUGCCAGUCUUGAAUGUCGUAGAGGUAAGCGGAAUGUUGCAUGUAGCGGUGAAAUGCUUAGAUAUGUUACAGAACACCAAUUGCGAAGGCAGCUUACUAUGCGAUGAUUGACGCUGAGGCACGAAAGCGUGGGGAGCAAACAGGAUUAGAUACCCAGGUAGUCCACGCCCUAAACGAUGAUUACUCGAUGUUGGCGAUAUACAGUCAGCGUCUUAGCGAAAGCGUUAAGUAAUCCACCUGGGGAGUACGCUCGCAAGAGUG